rnacentral:ncRNA from 1 species
GCGUCUUUCGCGGGAGAGACUUGGUUCCAUGUAAUGGAGCACGGCGCCGAAGGAGCAACCGCCCCGGAAACUCUCAGGCAAAUGGACCGCGAAUUGGCA